GACGAACGCUGGCGGCGUGCUUAACACAUGCAAGUCGAACGAAGAGCGAUGGAAGCUUGCUUCUAUCAAUCUUAGUGGCGCACGGGUGAGUAACGCGUAAUCAACCUGCCCUUCAGAGGGGGACAACAGUUGGAAACGACUGCUAAUACCGCAUACGAUCUAAUCUCGGCAUCGAGGAUAGAUGAAAGGUGGCCUCUACAUGUAAGCUAUCACUGAAGGAGGGGAUUGCGUCUGAUUAGCUCGUUGGAGGGGUAACGGCCCACCCAGGCGAUGAUCAGUAGCCGGUCUGGAAGGAUGGACGGCCACAAUGGGACUGAGACACGGCCCAGACUCCUACGGGAGGGAGCAGUGGGGGAUCUUCCGCAAUGGACGAAAGGCUGACGGAGCAACGCCGCGUGAGGGAUGACGGCCUUCGGGUUGGAAAGCUCUGUUAAUCGGGACGAAAGGCCUUCUUGCGAAUAGUGAGAAGGAUUGACGGUACCGGAAUAGAAAGCCACGGCUAACUACGUG
rnacentral:rRNA from 1 species